AUGCCUCAAAAGACACGUGUCUGGCAUGCAUGGUCAACGACUUGGACCGAUACACAAAGCCUAAUUGCAAAAUGGUUAAAGUUGUUGAUGACAGACAUCAACCAAGACUCUGUCUGUAUGCAACUGAAAUGAUCAGCAAAGACACUGAAUUGAGGUACGAUUAUGGUGUUGCUGAUGUACCUUGGAGAAAGCGAAAGAUGCUGUUAAAGAUGGUCAUACAGCUGCAGAUACUACAGAGGUCACAGAAACAUCUGAAGAUGCCCUCAGUGAAUCAGCAGAAGUCUUGGAACAUGCUUAUCAUGAUGCUGUAGGGAACAGUGGGACAGUUGCCCCAUCCACAGUUGUCUCUGAACAUGCUAAAGGGCCGCCUCAAGAUGCUGUUAAAGAUGGUCAUACAGCUGCAGAUACUACAGAGGUCACAGAAACAUCUGAAGAUGCCCUCAGUGAAUCAGCAGAAGUCUUGGAACAUGCUUAUCAUGAUGCUGUAGAAAUCAGAGGGAUAGUUUACCAUCCACAGUUGUCUCUGAACAUGCUGAAGGGCCGCCUCAAGCAAUGUUCAAGAUUUGACCCAGGAGCAGCUACAGGAUAUGGUUGAUCAGAGUGAGAGGCAUCUGCGGAAAA